rnacentral:rRNA from 1 species
AGGGGCGGCUUUUUGGNACAGUACUGACGNUGAGGCGGCGAAAGCGUGGGGAAGCAAACAGGAUUAGAUANCCCUGNUAGUCCACGCCNGUAAACGAUGGAUACUAGGUGUAGGAGGUAUCGACCCCNUUCUGUGCCGGAGUUNNACACAAUAAGUAUCCCACCUGGGGAGUACGGCCGCAAGGUUGAAACUCAAAGGAAUUGACGGGGGCCCGCACAAGCAGUGGAGUAUGUGGUUUAAUUCGAAGCAACGCGAAGAACCUUACCAGGGCUUGACAUCCCUCUGACAGCUCUAGAGAUAGGGCUUCCCUUCGGGGCAGAGGAGACAGGUGGUGCAUGGUUGUCGUCAGCUCGUGUCGUGAGAUGUUGGGUUAAGUCCCGCAACGAGCGCAACCCUUGUCGUUAGUUGCCAGCACGUUAAGGUGGGCACUCUAGCGAGACUGCCGGCGACAAGUCGGAGGAAGGUGGGGACGACGUCAAAUCAUCAUGCCCCUUAUGUCCUGGGCUACACACGUACUACAAUGGCUGCUACAAAGGGAAGCGAUACCGCGAGGUGGAGCAAAUCCCCAAAAGCAGUCCCAGUUCGGAUUGCAGGCUGAAACUCGCCUGCAUGAAGUCGGAAUUGCUAGUAAUGGCAGGUCAGCAUACUGCCGUGAAUACGUUCCCGGGCCUUGUACACACCGCCCGUCACACCAUGAGAGUCUGCGACACCCGAAGUCAGUAGUCUAACCGCAAGGAGGGCGCUGCCGAAGGUGGGGCAGAUG